CCUACGGGGGGCAGCAGUGGGGAAUAUUGGACAAUGGGGGCAACCCUGAUCCAGCCAUGCCGCGUGUGUGAAGAAGGCCCUCGGGUUGUAAAGCACUUUCAGUGAGGAAGAACGCCUGGUGGUUAAUACCCAUCAGGAAAGACAUCACUCACAGAAGAAGCACCGGCUAACUCCGUGCCAGCAGCCGCGGUAAUACGGAGGGUGCGAGCGUUAAUCGGAAUUACUGGGCGUAAAGCGCGCGUAGGUGGCUUGAUAAGCCGGUUGUGAAAGCCCCGGGCUCAACCUGGGAACGGCAUCCGGAACUGUCAAGCUAGAGUGCAGGAGAGGAAGGUAGAAUUCCCGGUGUAGCGGUGAAAUGCGUAGAGAUCGGGAGGAACACCAGUGGCGAAGGCGGCCUUCUGGACUGACACUGACACUGAGGUGCGAAAGCGUGGGUAGCAAACAGGAUUAGAUACCCCUGUAGUC
rnacentral:rRNA from 1 species